UUAAAUUGAAGAGUUUGAUCAUGGCUCAGAUUGAACGCUGGCGGCAGGCCUAACACAUGCAAGUCGAACGGUAACAGGAAGCAGCUUGCUGCUUUGCUGACGAGUGGCGGACGGGUGAGUAAUGUCUGGGAAACUGCCUGAUGGAGGGGGAUAACUACUGGAAACGGUGGCUAAUACCGCAUAACGUCGCAAGACCAAAGAGGGGGACCUUCGGGCCUCUUGCCAUCAGAUGUGCCCAGAUGGGAUUAGCUUGUUGGUGAGGUAACGGCUCACCAAGGCGACGAUCCCUAGCUGGUCUGAGAGGAUGACCAGCCACACUGGAACUGAGACACGGUCCAGACUCCUACGGGAGGCAGCAGUGGGGAAUAUUGCACAAUGGGCGCAAGCCUGAUGCAGCCAUGCCGCGUGUAUGAAGAAGGCCUUCGGGUUGUAAAGUACUUUCAGCGGGGAGGAAGGUGUUGUGGUUAAUAACCGCAGCAAUUGACGUUACCCGCAGAAGAAGCACCGGCUAACUCCGUGCCAGCAGCCGCGGUAAUACGGAGGGUGCAAGCGUUAAUCGGAAUUACUGGGCGUAAAGCGCACGCAGGCGGUCUGUCAAGUCGGAUGUGAAAUCCCCGGGCUCAACCUGGGAACUGCAUUCGAAACUGGCAGGCUUGAGUCUUGUAGAGGGGGGUGGAAUUCCAGGUGUAGCGGUGAAAUGCGUAGAGAUCUGGAGGAAUACCGGUGGCGAAGGCGGCCCCCUGGACAAAGACUGACGCUCAGGUGCGAAAGCGUGGGGAGCAAACAGGAUUAGAUACCCUGGUAGUCCACGCCGUAAACGAUGUCUACUUGGAGGUUGUGCCCUUGAGGCGUGGCUUCCGGAGCUAACGCGUUAAGUAGACCGCCUGGGGAGUACGGCCGCAAGGUUAAAACUCAAAUGAAUUGACGGGGCCCGCACAAGCGGUGGAGCAUGUGGUUUAAUUCGAUGCAACGCGAAGAACCUUACCUGGUCUUGACAUCCACGGAAGUUUUCAGAGAUGAGAAUGUGCCUUCGGGAGCCGUGAGACAGGUGCUGCAUGGCUGUCGUCAGCUCGUGUUGUGAAAUGUUGGGUUAAGUCCCGCAACGAGCGCAACCCUUAUCCUUUGUUGCCAGCGGUCCGGCCGGGAACUCAAAGGAGACUGCCAGUGAUAAACUGGAGGAAGGUGGGGAUGACGUCAAGUCAUCAUGGCCCUUACGACCAGGGCUACACACGUGCUACAAUGGCGCAUACAAAGAGAAGCGACCUCGCGAGAGCAAGCGGACCUCAUAAAGUGCGUCGUAGUCCGGAUUGGAGUCUGCAACUCGACUCCAUGAAGUCGGAAUCGCUAGUAAUCGUGGAUCAGAAUGCCACGGUGAAUACGUUCCCGGGCCUUGUACACACCGCCCGUCACACCAUGGGAGUGGGUUGCAAAAGAAGUAGGUAGCUUAACCUUCGGGAGGGCGCUUACCACUUUGUGAUUCAUGACUGGGGUGAAGUCGUAACAAGGUAACCGUAGGGGAACCUGCGGUUGGAUCACCUCCUUACCUUAAAGAA
rnacentral:rRNA from 1 species